ACGGAAGGCAGCAGUGGGGAAUAUUGCACAAUGGGGGAAACCCUGAUGCAGCGACGCCGCGUGAGCGAAGAAGUAUUUCGGUAUGUAAAGCUCUAUCAGCAGGGAAGAAAAUGACGGUACCUGACUAAGAAGCUCCGGCUAAAUACGUGCCAGCAGCCGCGGUAAUACGUAUGGAGCAAGCGUUAUCCGGAUUUACUGGGUGUAAAGGGAGCGUAGGCGGCACGGCAAGCCAGAAGUGAAAUGCCGGGGCUCAACCCCGGAACUGCUUUUGGAACUGUCGAGCUAGAUUGCAGGAGAGGUAAGUGGAAUUCCUAGUGUAGCGGUGAAAUGCGUAGAUAUUAGGAGGAACACCAGUGGCGAAGGCGGCUUGCUGGACUGUAAAUGACGCUGAGGCUCGAAAGCGUGGGGAGCAAACAGGAUUAGAUACCCUGGUA
rnacentral:rRNA from 1 species